rnacentral:rRNA from 1 species
UACGGAGGGGGCUAGCGUUGUUCGGAAUUACUGGGCGUAAAGCGCGCGUAGGCGGACCUGCAAGUCGGGGGUGAAAGCCCGAGGCUCAACCUCGGAACUGCCUUCGAUACUGCGGGUCUCGAGUCCGGGAGAGGUGAGUGGAAUUCCUAGUGUAGAGGUGAAAUUCGUAGAUAUUAGGAAGAACACCAGUGGCGAAGGCGGCUCACUGGCCCGAUACUGACGCUGGGG